rnacentral:rRNA from 1 species
AUCGACCCUCUUCGUGGCGUAGCUAACGCGUUAAGUUGUCCGCCUGGGUAGUACGACCGCAAGGUUAAAACUCAAAGGAAUAGACGGGGACUUGCACAAGCAGAGGAUUAUGUGGUUUAAUUCGAGGAUAAACGAAGAACCUUACCAAGAUUUGAAACCUAACUGAAUCCACCAGAAAUGGCGGAGUCUCACAAGGACAGUUAGGCAGGUGAUGCAUGGCCGUCGUCAGUUCGUAGUUUGAACCGUUCCCUUAAGUGGGGUAACGAACGCAACCCUCGUUGUCUGUUACACGUAUCAGGCGAGACUGCCCCGCUCAAAUUUUUUCGAGAUAAUGUCACUAAGUAUUAUUUAAAUAUUUUUUGUGGCGAAUAUUAACUUUGGUUGAUAACUUUCUGGAAAAACUUGAGCGGGGAGGAAGGCGAGGAUGACGCCAGGUCAGCAUGUCCCUUUGAUAUCUUGGGCUACACACAUAAUACAAUGGCGGCUACAACGGGCUGCGACGGGGAAACCCCGAGCUAAUCCUAAUAAAAGCCGUCCCAGUUCGGAUUGGGGGCUGAAACUCGACCCCAUGAAGUUGGAUUUGCUAGUAAUCGCGGGUCAGACAUACCGCGGUGAAUACGUUCUCAAGUCUUGUACUCA